GACGAACGCUGGCGGCGUGCUUAAUACAUGCAAGUCGAACGGACAGGCCCUGCUUUUGUGGGGUGCUCGAGUGGCGAACGGGUGAGUAACACGUGAGUAACCUGCCCUUGUCUUUGGGAUAACUCCAGGAAAAUCGGGCUAAUACCGGAUAGGAGCUCCUGCUGCACGGUGGGGGUUGGAAAGUUCCGGUGGUUGGGGAUGGACUCGCGGCUUAUCAGCUUGUUGGUGGGGUAGUGGCUUACCAAGGCUUUGACGGGUAGCCGGCCUGGGAGGGUGACCGGCCACAUUGGGACUACGAUACGCCCCAGACUCCAACGGGACGCAGCAGUGGGGAAUAUUGCACAAUGGGCGGAAGCCUGAUGCAGCAACGCCGCGUGCGGGAUAACGGCCUUCGGGUUGUAAACCGCUUUCGCCUGUGACGAAGCGUGAGUGACGGUAAUGGGUAAAGAAGCACCGGCUAACUACGUG
rnacentral:rRNA from 1 species